CUUAAAGGAAUUGACGGGGACCCGCACAAGCGGUGGAGUAUGUGGCUUAAUUCGAUGCAACGCGAAGAACCUUACCAAGGCUUGACAUGGAUUUCUAAGCACGUGAAAGCGUGUGACCCUUCGGGGAACUUCCACAGGUGCUGCAUGGCCGUCGUCAGCUCGUGUCGUGAGAUGUUGGGUUAAGUCCCGCAACGAGCGCAACCCUUGUGAAUAGUUGCCAGCACGUCAUGGUGGGAACUCUAUUCAGACUGCCCAGAUCAACUGGGAGGAAGGUGGGGACGACGUCAGGUCAGUAUGGCCCUUACGCCUUGGGCUGCACACGUACUACAAUGCCCAGUACAAUGAGAACCGAUGCCGCGAGGUGGAGGAAAUCUGUAAAACUGGGCCCAGUUCGGAUUGGAGGCUGCAACUCGCCUCCAUGAAGUUGGAAUCGCUAGUAAUGGCGCAUCAUCUACGGCGCCGUGAAUACGUUCCCGGGUCUU
rnacentral:rRNA from 1 species